rnacentral:tRNA from 1 species
AUCUUCCCCAUAUAUUAUUAUAAUACAUAUACAUAUACCU